CCUACGGGUGGCUGCAGUGGGGAAUAUUGGGCAAUGGAGGCAACUCUGACUCAGCAACGCCGCGUGAAUGAUGAAGGUCUUCGGAUUGUAAAGUUCUUUUCUAAGGGAAGAAGAAAGUGACGGUACCUUAGGAAUAAGCCUCGGCUAACUACGUGCCAGCAGCCGCGGUAAUACGUAGGAUGCGAGCGUUAUCCGGAUUUAUUGGGUUUAAAGGGUGCGCAGGCGGAAGUUCAAGUCAGCGGUAAAAUUGAGAGGCUCAACUUCGGAAUUGCCUCUGAUACUGUUAGGCUGGAGAGUAGUUGCGGUAGGCGGAAUGUAUGGUGUAGCGGUGAAAUGCUUAGAGAUCAUACAGAACACCGAUUGCGAAGGCAGCUUACCAAGCUACUUCUGACGUUGAGGCACGAAAGCGUGGGGAGCAAACAGGAUUAGAUACCCCUGUAGUC
rnacentral:rRNA from 1 species